GUGAACGCUGGCGGCGUGCAUUAAGCAUGCAAGUAGAACGAGCUCGGCUUGCCGAGUUAGUUGCGAACGGCUGAGUAACGCGUAGGUAUCUACCUUUUGGUGGGGAAUACCCACGGGAAACCGUGGUUAAUACCGCAUAAGAUCUCCGGAUGAAAGGGCAUAACUGCCCGCCGAAAGAGGAGCCUGCGUCCCAUCAGCUUGUUGGUGGGGUAAUGGCCUACCAAGGCUACGACGGGUAGGGGGCGUGAGAGCGUGGCCCCCCAGAAUGGGACUGAGACACGGCCCAUACACCUACGGGUGGCAGCAACUGGGAAUCGUACGCAAUGGGCGAAAGCCUGACGUCGCGACGCCGCGUGUGGGAUGAAGGCCUUCGGGUCGUAAACCACUUUUAUAAAUGUCGAGAGGCAUUUUUGAAUAAGCACCCGCUAACCACGU
rnacentral:rRNA from 1 species